GCUGCCCACGGGCCUCUUUCUGAGGGAACGGAGGCUCCGAGCGACACCCCGGCCCUUCGAGAACUCGCAGGCUGACCUUGCUCCGAGUUGCUCAGCCGCUCCCCGCCGUCGGGACAGGCUUAAGGGAACUUCGUCCGCCGGCGCCAAGGAGGCGCCAGACCGAAGAAUCGAACGGGGCCCGGGCGGAGCAGGAGCACCACGGCCGCCGGCUCUCUCCGCAUCGGAAGGGCCGCUCCGUCCCGCCGCCCGCGCGAGCCUCUCGGGGUAGGCCCCGCCAGGCCGGGAGCAGUUGGCGCGCCUCCGUCUCCGUAGCAACGCGGACCCCCGCCCCCCUUCCCAGAGGCGAGCCACAGCCCCACCCGCUGGGAGGCAGACGAAAGAGAUGGGGGGGAGAGAACGAACACGUCCCGGUGCCUCCGGCCCCACUGGCCACUCUGCCCGGUCCAGCCAGCUCGACCCUGAGGAAAGCGGCUCCGCCCUCUUCCGGCUGACUUCCCGCGAGAGAACCUCGGUGGGAGCGUGCCGCGUCUCCGCAGAGUCGUUCAGCGGAGGUAAGAAGGGGCCAAUCGCGGUGCAGCGCAGGAAGCCGUGGCCAAUCGCAGAGCGGCAAGGGCGGGGCCUAUUCUCUCCAGAGACAGAAAUCGUUCGGCCUGGAGCGGUGUUGGCGGUCAGUGUUGGCGGUUUCUUGCGAGGUCCACAGGUCUUAAAGUAGCCAAGGUUGGAGAUGCCUGUUCUGAGCCAAGUUGGCAACUUCAGCGCCUGCAGCUGGUCAGGGGAAUCCUGGGAGUUGAAGUCCACGUGCCUUAAAAGUUGCCCGAAUCGAGAAACACUGUACCUGGUUUAAUUCAGGCAGGUUCCACUCACCAGAGCGUAAUCCUGGAUGGCAUAACCUCUCAUGUCAAUCAGAAUAACACUUGGAAGGGGCCUUUGAGGUCUUCUAGUCAACCCCCCUGCUUAGGCAGGAGACCCAUACCGUUCCUCGGUGGUUAGAGUGCUGUACUGCAGGCCACUUCUGCUGACUGUUGGCUGCCUGCAAUUUGGCAACUCGAAUCUCCCCAGGCUCAAGGCCUUCAGUCCUUCCGAGGUGAGUAAAAUGAGGACCCAAAACUCUUGGAGGGCAACAGGCUGACUCUGUAAACUGCAUCGAGAUGCACUGUGUAAAUGCACUGUGAAGCGGUAUAUAAGUCUCGGGGCUAUUGCUAUUCCAGACAAGUGGCUGUCCGGUCUCUUCAUGAAAGGUGCCAAUGAUGGGGCACCCACAACUUCUGGAGGGAAGCCGCCAUUCUAACUGUUCAUUGUUCUGCCAGGAAAUUUCUCCUUAAUUCCAGGUUGCUUCUUGUCUUGCCCUUAGGUAUUUUGGAGAAUAGCUUGACCCCUCCUCUUUUUUGUGACACCCCCUCAAAUAUUGGAAGACUGCUUUCAUGUCAACCCGUCUCUUUUCACAAGACCAGACCUUUCCUGCAGCCGUUCUUCAUAGUUUUGUCCUCCAAUCUCCUAAUUAUCUUUGUUGCUCUUUUCUGCGCUCUUUCCAGAGUCUCAACAUCUUUUUUGUGUGGCAACCAAAACUGGGUACAGUAUUCCAAGUGUGGCCUUACCAGGGCCUUAUAAAGUGGUACGAAUGCAGCCUAGGACUGUAUUGACUUUUUUGGCAACUGCAGCAUACUGCUGGCUCCUUAAAUUGUGCACUGGGACUGAUCUUUCCCACAGUUACUACUAUUGAGCCAUGUACCACCUAUUCUAUACCUGUGCAUUUGGUUUUUCUUGUUUAAAUAGAGAACCUUGCUUUUCUCACCAUUAAAAUUCAUUUUGUUGGAUAGGGCCCAGUGUUCAAGUCUGUCAAGAUCCUUCUGAGCCUAUCUUCUAGAGUGUUGGCUAUUCCUGCCAACCUGGUAUCAUCUGCAACUUUUGUUCUCACAGUCAGGAAAUGCCUCCUUAGUUCUAGGUUGGAUUUCUGUUUUAUGAUUUUCCGUUGGUUACAACAAUACAGAAAUUAACUAUCACAGCUAAAAGAGAUUAAACUAUAGAGGUGUAAAUAUAGGAACCUUGCUGAAAUAGAGACAUAUUUGCAGUCCAUUCCAAGGGGACAAGGGCUUUAAUAAAUUGUAGGACAAAAAUGAUUGUCAUCCGUUAUGAUUGCAGUUCUUAA
ensembl:lncRNA